rnacentral:lncRNA from 1 species
CAGCAGGGAAAGCAAGGUCAAUGACUCCAGGUAUUUGUUCUUGUCUCUGCCAUCAACCUGCUUGGUGUCCUUGGGUGAGACCCUUCAGACCAGGAUCUUCAUUUACAAAAUCGACAUAGCCCUGCUUGUAUAUUAUGUGACUCAGGAGCAGAGAAAGAAAAGUAACUAUUGUCAAUAGGAGUAACGCUGGAUUGGACAACUCCCGUCUUACUUCCUGAGGAGCAGCACUGUAGUAGCCAAGCAACCUGAAGGAUUUGAUAUAACAGCAGGAGUUUCCGGGCAAAGCCAAUGUCUGGGCCAGUGUUUGCAACCUGGAUAACAGCAUUGUUUUAGCAAUCAGAGAAUGGAAGCUGGGGAUAAAGUUUGAGUGAGGCUCGGGGAGACAAAACCAGCAUUCAUCUACAGCACAUGAAAAUGAAUUGGCCCAUCAGCUUUCAACUGAAUAUAGUAGCACUGUGUCUUGCUACAUACAGAGAGAGUGAAAGAAGGAGGAACAGAUCACAAGGUGUCACCCAGUUUUGCUGCAGCUCACGUGCUUCCAUGGGAGGACAUUUGCAUGGGCGUGACUACGAUUCAAUUGGUGAAUUUCAGAAGAAGAAGUGGUUAAUCUCAUUGCCAUCAGUACCAGUCAGCUCGAGCUGCCGGAACAGAAUACCAUAGGCUGGAUGGCUUAAACAACAGGAAUUUAUUUUCUCCCAGUUCUGGAGGCUGAGACGUCCAAGAUCAAGGUGCCAGCAGGUUCGUGUCUGGUGAGUGCUCACCCUUUCGAUUGCAGACAACAAUAUGUGGCCUGUGCUCAGUGCACGCAUGUGGAGAGAGUGUGAGGUCUCUGGUCUCUCUUCUGAGAUCAGAUCAGAUCAGAGCCCCACCCUUAUGACCUCAUUUAACCUUAAUUACUUCCUUAGAGGCCCCAUCUUCAAAGACAGACACACUGGGGUUAGGGCUUCAACAUAUGGAUUUUGGGGACACAAAUAAUCAGUCCAUGGCACUCACAUAGUCAUUAUUUCUGAUGCUCUUCAUUCUUUCUUACAUUUCUGUGUUCCAUCUGGGAUAAUUUUCCUUCUGCCUAAAGUACUCCUGUUGGUGUUUUUUGUAGUGUGAGUCUUCUGGUGAUGAAUUCCCUCAGUCUUUGUUUGUCUGAACAGCCUUUAUUUUGCCUUCAUUUUUUAGUGGAUAUUUUCACUGGAUAUAGAAUUGUUAGUUGGCAGUUGUUUUCUGUAAGUACUUUGUGUCCACCCACUGUCUUCUGUUUUCCACUGUUUCCAAUUAAGAAAUCAGUUGUUAGGCUUAUUGUAGCUCCUUUGACUGUCAUGUAUCUCUUUAUCUUUGCUUUUGGUUUUUAACAGUUUUACUCAAAAAUGCCUAGGAGUGGUUUUCCUUCAUAUUUAACUUGCUUGAAG